CCAAGAUGGCGGACGAAAGUGGGGGAAAAAGUGAAGAAACUAACUUACCAGGAAUAGGCGAACUACAAGCAUUCUCUCAGCAAGCUUUAAGAGURCUUGURGGGGCUACUCAAAAAGCCAACUCUUUACCCAGUGCKGGUGAAGACCAUGACUUCUACUACAGCUUCUCUGACUUYAGAGAGUUUAGAAAUGCCCAGGGAACUAGAUUGCUAAACAAUGCCCAUGACUURUUACGUCAUUUCCAUGUUCAAUGUGGUUGGCCAAAAAGAGGCCAGUCUUGUGAUAGUGUUGAUGUAGAUGACUUGUUUGAAAAUUUAGUUGAAGCAAAUGAUAUCCUUCUUGAAGAAGUGGAUACCAGACUAGAUGAAGCUUCUGGUUUAUCCAAGAACAAAAAUCCAGUUUUAAACAAGUCAAUCCAGUCUAACAAACCUGUUGUAUCCAGUUGGAACAGGAG